CCUCUUUGUUGUUUGAGUCACUUUGAGAGGACUAUUCCUAAAAGCCAAAUUUAACAACACAUCCAGCCUCAGACUCAGGUCCCUGGACUUUGGGACUCAUUCUGCUCGACUUGAUCCCUGCUCUGCCCAUUGAUCACAUACACACGUUUACACCUGGCAGAAGAGGAAGAGGAGGCAUGAAGGAAUGGCCUCUUCAGAAUGGAGAAAAGCCUUCCCCAUGAGAACAUGCCUAAGACAGACUGCUGAAGAAGGCGGCAAAUGGAACAGCGCUGAAUCAGCCUGGUCAUCCCAGUCAAGCCUCCAGACAUAAUAUGAAAGUUCAUCAGCAAGCCAGCACACAGGGAAAGCAUAUUGAAAUGAGCAUUAUGG
rnacentral:lncRNA from 1 species